CCAAGGAGCACAUUUAAACAGCUCCGAGGGCAGGCCUCUGUUUCCACGGAGGCAAAGAAUUCUCUGGGUCACACAAAGCAGCUGUCUCCUCAGCAGCAGCAACCUUUCGGGAGGAAGGCAGAGGUAGGGAGAGGGGCCAGGAUGGAGGAACCCACGCAGGCAGCCCACUCACCACCGAGGAGCCCCUGCUGCAGGAAGAGGCUGCAAGGCCUGGACCUGUAGGUCAGAAUGACCAAGGCACAGAUCAGAGCGCUCCAUGUCCAGCGGUCCCACAUCCUCGCCAAGCCAUGGCCAUCUCACCCUCUGGAGAGCCAACCACACUGUGGAAGCAGGCCAUUUUCACACCAAGGCCUUGCAGUGUGCAGAAGAGGGAUUCCAUUCCGGGAACAAAGAGCAAGUUCCAGCAAGGUGUGCAAUUCCC
rnacentral:lncRNA from 1 species